AGAAUCAACGCUGGCGGCGUGCCUAACACAUGCAAGUCGAACGAGAAAGUGGAGCAAUCCAUGAGUAAAGUGGCGCACGGGUGAGUAACACGUGACUAACCUACCCUUGAGUGGGGAAUAACUUCGGGAAACCGAGGCUAAUACCGCAUAACACCUACGGGUCAAAGGAGCAAUUCGCUUAAGGAGGGGGUCGCGGCAGAUUAGUUAGUUGGCGGGGUAAUGGCCCACCAAGACGGUGAUCUGUAUCCGGCCUGAGAGGGCGCACGGGACACACUGGAACUGAAACACGGUCCAGACUCCUACGGGAGGCAGCAGUGGGGAAUUUUGCGCAAUGGGGGAAACCCUGACGCAGCAACGCCGCGUGGAGGAUGAAGUCCCUUGGGACGUAAACUCCUUUCGAUCGGGACGAUUAGUGACGGUACCGGAAGAGAAGCCCCGGCUAACUUCGCGCCAGCAGCCGC
rnacentral:rRNA from 1 species